rnacentral:tRNA from 1 species
GCCUGGCUGGCUCAGUUGGUAGAGCAUGUGACAUUUGAUCUCAGGCUUGUGAGUUCCAGUCCCAUGUUGGGUG